rnacentral:rRNA from 1 species
GCAGUCGAGCGGACAGAUGGGAGCUUGCUCCCUGAUGUUAGCGGCGGACGGGUGAGUAACACGUGGGUAACCUGCCUGUAAGACUGGGAUAACUCCGGGAAACCGGGGCUAAUACCGGAUGGUUGUUUGAACCGCAUGGUUCAGACAUAAAAGGUGGCUUCGGCUACCACUUACAGAUGGACCCGCGGCGCAUUAGCUAGUUGGUGAGGUAACGGCUCACCAAGGCGACGAUGCGUAGCCGACCUGAGAGGGUGAUCGGCCACACUGGGACUGAGACACGGCCCAGACUCCUACGGGAGGCAGCAGUAGGGAAUCUUCCGCAAUGGACGAAAGUCUGACGGAGCAACGCCGCGUGAGUGAUGAAGGUUUUCGGAUCGUAAAGCUCUGUUGUUAGGGAAGAACAAGUGCCGUUCAAAUAGGGCGGCACCUUGACGGUACCUAACCAGAAAGCCACGGCUAACUACGUGCCAGCAGCCGCGGUAAUACGUAGGUGGCAAGCGUUGUCCGGAAUUAUUGGGCGUAAAGGGCUCGCAGGCGGUUUCUUAAGUCUGAUGUGAAAGCCCCCGGCUCAACCGGGGAGGGUCAUUGGAAACUGGGGAACUUGAGUGCAGAAGAGGAGAGUGGAAUUCCACGUGUAGCGGUGAAAUGCGUAGAGAUGUGGAGGAACACCAGUGGCGAAGGCGACUCUCUGGUCUGUAACUGACGCUGAGGAGCGAAAGCGUGGGGAGCGAACAGGAUUAGAUACCCUGGUAGUCCACGCCGUAAACGAUGAGUGCUAAGUGUUUAGGGGGUUUCCGCCCCUUAGUGCUGCAGCUAACGCAUUAAGCACUCCGCCUGGGGGAGUACGGUCGCAAGACUGAAACUCAAAGGAAUUGACGGGGGCCCGCACAAGCGGUGGAAGCAUGUGGGUUUAAUUCGAAGCAACGCGAAGAACCUUACCAGGUCUUGACAUCCUCUGACAAUCCUAGAAGAUAGGACGUCCCCUUCGGGGGCAGAGUGACAGGUGGUGGCAUGGUUGUCGUCAGCUCGUGUCCUGAAGAUGUUUGGGUUAAGUCCCGCAACGAGCGCAACCCUUGGAUCUUAGUUGCC